AGAGUUUGAUCCUGGCUCAGAAUGAAUGCUGGCGGCAUGGAUUAGGCAUGCAAGUUGAACGAGAACUUAACUUCGGUUAAGGGACAGUAGCGAAAGGGUGAGUAACGCGUGAACGAUCUACCUCUAAGUUUGGAAUAACAGUUGGAAACGACUGCUAAUACCGGAUGUGAAUAUAAAGCCGCAUGGUUUAAUAUUUAAAGAUUUAUCGCUUAGAGAUGAGUUCGCGUGCCAUUAUGUUAGUUGGUAAGGUAACGGCUUACCAAGACUAUGACGGCUAGGUGGUCUGAGAGGACGAUCACCCACACUGGGACUGAGACACUGCCCAGACUCCUGCGGGAGGCUGCAGUCGAGAAUCUUCCGCAAUGCGCGAAAGCGUGACGGAGCAAUGCCGCGUGAUCGAAGAAGGCCUUCGGGUUGUAAAGAUCUGUCAGGGGGGAAAAACAAUGAUGGUACCCCCAGAGGAAGCCACGGCUAACUACGUGCCAGCAGCCGCGGUAAUACGUAGGUGGCUAGCAUUAUUCGGAAUUACUGGGCGUAAAGGGUCCGCAGGGGGUUUAUCAAGUCAGAUGUGAAAUUUCAGGGCUUAACUCUGAACGUGCAUUUGAAACUGAUAAACUAGAGUAUGUGAGAGGUGAGCGGAAUUUGUGGUGUAGCGGUGGAAUGCGUAGAUAUCACAAGGAAGGCCAAAGGCGAAAGCAGCUCACUGGCACAAUACUGACCCUCAGGGACGAAGGCUAAGGUAGCGAAAAGGAUUAGAUACCCUUGUAGUCUUAGCAGUAAACGCUGUACACUCGAUGUUGGUCUGGUUAGUCGGAUCAGUGUCUAAGCUAACGCGAUAAGUGUACCGCCUGGGAAGUACGGUCGCAAGACUAAAACUCAAAGGAAUUGACGGGGGCCCG
rnacentral:rRNA from 1 species